UGGAUGAGGAGAGACAGCAGCACACAGAGCAGAGAGACCAGCUGACUCUGCGUGUGAAGGCUCUGAAGAGGCAGGUGGAUGAAGGAGAGGCAGAAGCAGAGCGGCUGGAGGGAUUGAGGAGGAAGGCCAUCAGAGAAAUGGAGGAGAUGCAGGAACAGAAGGAGGCGCUGCAGUCCAAAGUCACGGCACUAGAGAAUGAACUCAAGAGGAAGAUCCAACAGGCCCGACAGUCAGCUCUGGAGUCUUCAGUGCUCAGCUGUGAUGAUGAUGAUGAUGAUGAAGGAUUGUAUGAUCAUUCCAGCAUAACCUCCAUCCUCACCAAGAGCAACCUACAGACCAGUUCCUGCUGAAGACUGAGAGAUGAAUCUGGAAUUCCUCUUCAUUGAUGCUUCAUUCCUGGACACACAGUAGCUUCAGUCCUGCUCUAAAACUGAUAAUAGAAACUUCAGUCUUCUGGUUUCUACUUUUGAUCUUUACGCCACAUCACUAU